AUGCGUGCCGGAGUGAGCGCGCGGGCUGUGUGUGCACGUGCCCGAGUGUGCGCGCCGGAGUGUGCGCGCAGAGGGGGGGAUGCGUGCCCGAGUGUGCGCGCGGGCUGUGUGUGCACGUGCCCGAGUGUGCGCGCGGAGGGGGUGUGCGCGCCGGAGUGCGCGCGCGGGGGGUGCGUGCCCGAGUGUGCGUGUGCGCGGGGAAGGGUGGCGGGGAGGUUGCGGAGAGGCCGCCAGGUGGGAAGCACCUGCGGGCUCCGGCGCGGCGCGUGCCCGCGCUGCUGGCACGAGGACACCUGGUCUCCUCCACACACGUACCUGUCGGGUUCCCGCCGCCCCUGCCGCCCUCGGGGCCUCCGGGUGCGGGGAGCGGCGUGCGGGCGGCGGCUUCGGGCCCCCGGGCCCCGGUGGGCGCAGGUGAGCGCCGCCGCCGCUCGGAGGCCGGAGGCCGGAGGCCGGGAGGGGGAAGGGGCCGGGCAGGAAAGGACGUGCUGCCCUUGGCGGGCGCCGGGACCGGGCGGGAGCGGGCGGGUCCGCCGCAUUGUUACCUGCGGCCGCGGCCGAGCCCCGCCCCGCGCCGCCCUGCCCCCUCGCGGUCCCGAGCCGCCGCGGCUGCGGACUCCGGGAGCCGGCGCCGGGGAGCGGGGAGCGGGGAGCGCCGGCCGCGGUGAGUGGGCCCGAGCCGGCACCCCGGGGGGCGGGGCGGGGCGGGGGGCGCCGCGUCUCGGCUGCCCGCGCGCUCCCUCCGCUCCCCCCGAGCGACUUCGGUGCCUGCGCCGCGCAGGCUGCGAGGACGGCGAGCGGUGCCCUGCGGCCGAGCCCGCGGGUUGGACCCGCGUCGGGAGGACGAGCUGGGUCACGGGGCGCGCCGCGACUUGCCGCUCCCGAAAGUGGGUGCGGGGUUGGCGGGGACGCGUCCGGGCGAUGCGGGCCGAGGACAGGGCGGCCCUUGCUCCUGCACACUCGGCCGGGCCGGGCGAGUUCCGACCCGAAGCGGCGCCCUCGGCUGCGGGGUCCGGAGGAGGCGGGGCCGGCGGGGCCGCGGGCUCGGGGGCUGCGGGCUCUCGCUUUCAUCCUCCCACCGAACGCCACGAGUCUCUCCUCGACUUUUUUUUUUUUUUUUUUUUGCCGGCUCUCGGCUGCUCCUCGGCUGAGCCGCAGUGCGGCCGUGAGGCUGCCUCUCCCGGGACCCAGAGCCCGGACGUGGGUAGGUGCCGCCGCCGAGGCUCGAGGGCGGGGCGGAGCCCGGCUCGGCGGACCGCGGCAGCCGCGCUUUGGCCUCCAGCACCGGGACCCGUUCCCCGCCGGCUUCUGGACUCCGCGCGGCUGCGGGGCGGGGGCGGGCCGUGA
rnacentral:lncRNA from 1 species